rnacentral:rRNA from 2 species
GASWWUCAACAUGGAACGAGUGGCGGACGGGUGAGUAACACGUGGGUAACCUGCCCUUAAGUGGGGGAUAACAUUUGGAAACAGAUGCUAAUACCGCAUAGAUCCAAGAACCGCAUGGUUCUUGGCUGAAAGAUGGCGUAAGCUAUCGCUUUUGGAUGGACCCGCGGCGUAUUAGCUAGUUGGUGAGGUAAYGGCUCACCAAGGCGAUGAUACGUAGCCGAACUGAGAGGUUGAUCGGCCACAUUGGGACUGAGACACGGCCCAAACUCCUACGGGAGGCAGCAGUAGGGAAUCUUCCACAAUGGACGCAAGUCUGAUGGAGCAACGCCGCGUGAGUGAAGAAGGCUUUCGGGUCGUAAAACUCUGUUGUUGGAGAAGAAUGGUCGGCAGAGUAACUGUUGUCGGCGUGACGGUAUCCAACCAGAAAGCCACGGCUAACUACGUGCCAGCAGCCGCGGUAAUACGUAGGUGGCAAGCGUUAUCCGGAUUUAUUGGGCGUAAAGCGAGCGCAGGCGGUUUUUUAAGUCUGAUGUGAAAGCCCUCGGCUUAACCGAGGAAGCGCAUCGGAAACUGGGAAACUUGAGUGCAGAAGAGGACAGUGGAACUCCAUGUGUAGCGGUGAAAUGCGUAGAUAUAUGGAAGAACACCAGUGGCGAAGGCGGCUGUCUGGUCUGUAACUGACGCUGAGGCUCGAAAGCAUGGGUAGCGAACAGGAUUAGAUACCCUGGUAGUCCAUGCCGUAAACGAUGAAUGCUAGGUGUUGGAGGGUUUCCGCCCUUCAGUGCCGCAGCUAACGCAUUAAGCAUUCCGCCUGGGGAGUACGACCGCAAGGUUGAAACUCAAAGGAAUUGACGGGGGCCCGCACAAGCGGU